rnacentral:rRNA from 1 species
CAGCCGCCGCGGGAAUACGAAGGGUGCAAGCGUUAAUCGGAAUUACUGGGCGUAAAGCGUGCGUAGGCGGUUUGUUAAGUCUGUUGUGAAAUCCCCGGGCUCAACCUGGGAAUGGCAAUGGAUACUGGCAAGCUAGAGUGUGUCAGAGGAUGGUGGAAUUCCCGGUGUAGCGGUGAAAUGCGUAGAGAUCGGGAGGAACAUCAGUGGCGAAGGCGGCCAUCUGGGACAACACUGACGCUGAGGCACGAAAGCGUGGGGAGCAAACAGGAUUAGAUACCCGAGUAGUCCCUGUCUCUUAUAC